rnacentral:sRNA from 1 species
GCAGGUGUGGUGGUGCAUGCCUGUAAUCCCAGCUACUUGGGAGGCUGAGAUGGGAGGAUUGCAAGUUCAAAGCUAACCUCAGCAAUGGCAAGGUGCUAAGCAACUCAGUGGAAUCCUGUCUCUA